AUCCAUCUGACGAGUCCUCAAUGGGACGAAACGCGCGUCAAACUGGAU
rfam:Schistosoma rodhaini strain Burundi genome assembly, scaffold: SROB_scaffold0000003